CCUACGGGAGGCAGCAGUGGGGAAUAUUGCACAAUGGGCGGAAGCCUGAUGCAGCGACGCCGCGUGAGGGAUGAAGGCCUUCGGGUUGUAAACCUCUUUCAGCAGGGACGAAGCGUGAGUGACGGUACCUGCAGAAGAAGCACCGGCUAACUACGUGCCAGCAGCCGCGGUAAUACGUAGGGUGCGAGCGUUGUCCGGAAUUACUGGGCGUAAAGAGUUCGUAGGCGGUUUGUCGCGUCGUUUGUGAAAACCCGGGGCUCAACUUCGGGCUUGCAGGCGAUACGGGCAGACUUGAGUGUUUCAGGGGAGACUGGAAUUCCUGGUGUAGCGGUGAAAUGCGCAGAUAUCAGGAGGAACACCGGUGGCGAAGGCGGGUCUCUGGGAAACAACUGACGCUGAGGAACGAAAGCGUGGGUAGCAAACAGGAUUAGAUACCCUGGUAGUCCACGCCGUAAACGGUGGGCGCUAGGCGUGGGUUCCUUCCACGGGAUCUGUGCCGUAGCUAACGCAUUAAGCGCCCCGCCUGGGGAUCGGCCGCAAGGCAAAACUCAAAGGAUUGACGG
rnacentral:rRNA from 1 species